rnacentral:tRNA from 1 species
UGGCUCAGACGGUAAAGCGUCUGCCUGCAAUGUAGGAGACCUGGGUUCGAUUCCUGG